rnacentral:rRNA from 1 species
GAUGAACGCUGGCGGCGUGCCUAAUACAUGCAAGUCGAGCGAACAGAUGAGGAGCUUGCUCCUCUGACGUUAGCGGCGGACGGGUGAGUAACACGUGGAUAACCUACCUAUAAGACUGGGAUAACUUCGGGAAACCGGAGCUAAUACCGGAUAAUAUAUUGAACCGCAUGGUUCAAUAGUGAAGGACGGUUUUGCUGUCACUUAUAGAUGGAUCCGCGCCGCAUUAGCUAGUUGGUAAGGUAACGGCUUACCAAGGCAACGAUGCGUAGCCGACCUGAGAGGGUGAUCGGCCACACUGGAACUGAGACACGGUCCAGACUCCUCGGGAGGCAGCAGUAGGGAAUCUUCCGCAAUGGGCGAAAGCCUGACGGAGCAACGCCGCGUGAGUGAUGAAGGUCUUCGGAUCGUAAAACUCUGUUAUUAGGGAAGAACAAAUGUGUAAGUAACUAUGCACGUCUUGACGGUACCUAAUCAGAAAGCCACGGCUAACUACGUG